UCGGACGUGGUGUAUGGAACAUCGCGAGGCUUCUUGAUCAAUGCCGAUGAAAAGAUCUCACCCGCAGUCCGGGGUUCGAUUCCCCGCGUCCGAA